rnacentral:misc_RNA from 1 species
GUUAUCUCCAAAAAAAACUUCCAAGAGAUAAGGAGCAUUAUCUAGUGUUUAUUCUAAAAGCAAGCUAAGGAAGAUUGUGGAUGGUUUUCAAAUAUUAGAAAGUGGAGAUGGUGCCUACAUUUGUGGAUGAUAUGUUGCAAGUGAUUGAGUGGUUGCAACUAGUAGAGAUAAUGGUUCAAGAUUAAUGGGCAAGCAUCUAAAAAUAAAAUCACGUGACACCUGGUGAAUGCAUUUCAAGUAAUCAUUUUAUAGUUCUUUAGUCAACAUUUCAU